rnacentral:rRNA from 1 species
AUACGGAGGGUGCAAGCGUUGUUCGGAAUCACUGGGCGUAAAGGGCGCGCAGGCGGUUUGAUUAGUCAGAUGUGAAAGCCCACGGCUUAACCGUGGAAGUGCAUUUGAAACUGUCAGACUUGAGUAUCGGAGGGGAAAGUGGAAUUCCCGGUGUAGAGGUGAAAUUCGUAGAUAUCGGGAGGAAUACCGGUGGCGAAGGCGACUUUCUGGCUGAAUACUGACGCUGAGGCGCGAAAGCGUGGGGAGCAAACAGAAUUAGAUACCCCGGUAGUCC